GCCCCAAUUCUGACUGCCUCAGAAGUAAUGGGGAUUGAACCUUGGCUUCACAUCGUCCAGUGACGCUGGGAGCCAGGCCCUUUGUCUACCUUCAGUGUUCCAGCUUCCUGCUGCUCACCAGAGCCCUUCAUGCCAGCAGAUGAGCUGCUUGAUUAAAUGAGACGAAGAUGCUGCUAGAGCCGCGAGCAAAGACUGUUCACUCAUAGGACCGCGAGCAAAGACUGUUCACUCAUAGGACCGCGAGCAAAGACUGUUCAACCAUAGGACCGCGAGCAAAGACUGUUCACCCAUAGGACCGCGAGCAAAGACUGUUCACCCAUAGGACUGCGAGCAAAGACUGUUCACCCAUAGGACUGCGAGCAAAGACUGUUCACCCAUAGGACUGGAUGCUGGGGAGGUUCCUGCUGACUCAUCUUGAUAUGUUAUGCCAAUGGAGAACUGGCUGGUAGAUUCUGGCCAUCUCUCCAUGUGUCCUGGUCAAAUACCUUCUUCUGGGUCUUCUGGAGAGCGAGAG